UCCCGUUUAGCUCAGUUGGUAGAGCGCGUCACUAGUAUUUACGUGAUAUAUUAUGACGAGGUCAGUCGUUCGAGUCGGCUAAUGGGAA